ensembl:lncRNA
UCCAAAGAUUCUUUCUUUUGUUAUCAAUAGUUCUCAUCACGCUGAUUUAUGUUCAAGGGGUCUCCUUUCCCAUAAGUUUGAUUCUAAUUACUACCCCAGUGAUGUUAAAUUGGGGUGAAACGUCAUCAUAACAGCUUUGACUGACAGGUGCAGUCACGGAGAAACUUGCUUAUCUCUGUUCGGAAAUAGCAGAUAGAGCGUAGGCUCCGAGAAGAGGGCCAGUGUGUACGUUAUGAAAACAGGACCGACUGUUUUAACCUGACAGACUGAGGUGUUCUUCAGUAAACUGGACUACCCGACAGAAGGACCCGAGGCCCCGCUGCACUUUUUCGGAGCUGCCCUCAGAUUCAGACCUCAGCACCACCCAGUGACAGCAGACAGAUCAUCCAACAUGUUCACAUGUUAACUGCAAAAUGAACUGAUGAAAACAGUCCAAAGCAUGUCUUUAUCCUGUUUUCCUUCUCUCACCCCAACCGGUCGCAGCAGAUGGCCCCGCCCCUCCCUGAGCCUGGUUCUGCCGGAGGUUUCUUCCUGUUAAAAGGGAGUUUUUCCUUCCCACUGUCGCCAAAGUGCUUGCUCAUAGCGGAUCAUAUGAUUGUUGGGUUUUUCUCUGUAUCUA